GAUGAAGAACGUAGCGAAAUGCGAUAAGUAGUGUGAAUUGCAGAAUUCAGUGAAUCAUCGAAUCUUUGAACGCACAUUGCGCCCCUUGGUAUUCCAUGGGGCAUGCUUGUUCGAGCGUCAUUUGUACCUUCAAGCUUUGCUUGGUGUUGGGUGUUUGUCUCGCCUUUGCGUGUAGACUCGCCUUAAAAUAAUUGGCAGCCGGCGUAUUGAUUUCGGAGCGCAGUACAUCUCGCGCUUUGCACUCAUAACGACAGCGUCCAAAAGUACAUUUUACACUCUUGACCUCGGAUCAGGUAGGGAUACCCGCUGAACUUAAGCAUAUCAAUAAGCGGAGGA
rnacentral:misc_RNA from 1 species